UUUGCAUAAUCAGGGGCUCUCCAAAUGAAAAAUAGGUAACUUCCAGAGCUGGCCCCAGCAAAUAGGUAAUGAAACAGUCCUUUAUUCCUGGAGCUAGUAGCACUUCUGUGCCUGUUGAGCAUAACAGCAGUCAACCCAUUUUUGAUUCCCACAGAAAACCCUGCACUGUUGGCGAGUCUUUCUGGGGAAAUCUAGGGACUAAUAUGGAAACUAAUGGAGCAGGAAGUGAACAAACAGACGAGCGGAUGAGACAAUGGGUUAUCAUGCUGGUUGGAAGUCAGGCAGGCUCAGCAGUGGGGGCCCAUUUUGGAAGAUCUAACAUUCCCUCACCAUUUUUCCUUCCUUGAUGAAGAGGAUGAGAAAUUACUGUGAAGGAGACUUGGACAAAAAUUGUGAUAUAGAAAGAGUUGAUACCUGAUGCCCUUCCUUCGUGAUCCUCCCCUUUCAAGAGCCUUUAACUCUUCCCACCUAACUAAGCAUGAAAGCAAAACAUUUCCAAAUAUAUGUAUGUUUUCUGAGCCAGCACCCUCAGAGUAUAUAUCCUGGCUACCCAGGGAGUAUCAUUGCUCCAGAAGCUCCAUGGUUUAUGAACUAAACAGAAUGAAGCUUUUAUAAAACUCAAGGCUGAGGCAGGAUGGAAAUUCCCAGUCCUCUCAUUUCUAAGUGCCUCACAUCAUAGGCACAUGAAUAUAAAUUCUGUCUCACUGCGGCAUUUGUCAAAGCAAUGGGAGAGCUGAACUGGGGAGGCAUGCCCUUCAGAGAGGAGUUAGUUUUCCAUAAGAACUCUAAAGUGCAGAAGUACUGCUAGGAGACAUAUCCUGGUAUCCUGAUGGGCUAUGUGGUCAGAAAUUAAGACUCUUUCUCCUACAUUCUCGGGAAAGAGUUUGGAAAUCCAAAUCGUUGGACCCAGACUUGCAAAGUACACUUCCAAGAACACAUUGUCAGUGGCAGCGUUAAAUCUGGAAACUUUGUCGUUUACUCCAACUCUGGUGCUUUUUCCUCUGCAUUAUGUUGCGUCCAGCCCCUUCAAUUGUCUUUAACUCCAUGAAAAAAGGUACCUUUUAGAUCAAGGAUAGAAGAAAGAGGACACUGGAUAAAGGUUAGCAGAUCUGGGCUUUCUCAUCAGUAAAAUGGAACUAACUUCUCUGGGUGGCUGAGAAAACUAAAUGAGAUAUGCCAUCAAAAGUGUAAGGGGCUUGCACACAACAGGGGCCUAUAAGAUUCAUUUGAAUUGGAUCCCCUUCUGUUUAUCUCUAUGUGGAGUUGCAGGUUUCAUUCUGGUUAAUGUUUCAGUGGAACAGUCACACUUCCCAAUCUGCUGUCUUAUGCUAUCUCACUGGCCCUCAGGCAUUCUAGGCUUUCAAAGAGCUGACUCAGAGAAAGCUAUAAAAUGUUACCUCUCAUUCUUCCUAGAGCCUAUCCCCCGAGAAAGGGCUUAGGACCUCAACUGCAGAUUAGAAAAAGCAAUGCCAUUUUAUCUUCCCUUCCUCCAUAGUUGUGAAUUGAGCAGAAAAUUUAAAAUAGUUUAAAUGAUGGCUUUAUCCCAAUCAGAAUUAAACCUUGCUCUUGGUCA